UAGUCCACGCCGUAAACGAUGAGUGCUAGAUAUCGGGAAAUUUAUUUUUCGGUUUCGUAGCUAACGCAUUAAGCACUCCGCCUGGGGACUACGAUCGCAAGAUUAAAACUCAAAGGAAUUGACGGGGGCUCGCACAAGUGGUGGAGCAUGCGGUUUAAUUCGAUGCUACGCGAAAAACCUUACCAACCCUUGACAUGGUGGUCGCGGGGACCAGAGAUGGACCCUUUCAGUUCGGCUGGACCACACACAGGUGUUGCAUGGCUGUCGUCAGCUCGUGUCGUGAGAUGUUGGGUUAAGUCCCGCAACGAGCGAAACCCUCAUCCUUAUUUGCCAGCGGUUCGGCCGGGAACUAUAAGGAAACUGCCGGUGAUAAGCCGGAGGAAGGUGGGGACGACGUCAAGUCCUCAUGGCCCUUACGGGUAGGGCUACACACGUACUACAAUGGCAGAUACAAACCGUUUGCAAAGCCGCGAGGUUGAGCUAAUCGGUAAAACACUGUCCCAGUCCGGAUUGGAGUCUGCAACUCGACUCC
rnacentral:rRNA from 1 species